rnacentral:rRNA from 1 species
AGUCGAACGAUGAACCACUUCGGUGGGGAUUAGUGGCGAACGGGUGAGUAACACGUGGGCAAUCUGCCCUGCACUCUGGGACAAGCCCUGGAAACGGGGUCUAAUACCGGAUACUGACCCUCACGGGCAUCUGUGAGGUUCGAAAGCUCCGGCGGUGCAGGAUGAGCCCGCGGCCUAUCAGCUUGUUGGUGAGGUAAUGGCUCACCAAGGCGACGACGGGUAGCCGGCCUGAGAGGGCGACCGGCCACACUGGGACUGAGACACGGCCCAGACUCCUACGGGAGGCAGCAGUGGGGAAUAUUGCACAAUGGGCGAAAGCCUGAUGCAGCGACGCCGCGUGAGGGAUGACGGCCUUCGGGUUGUAAACCUCUUUCAGCAGGGAAGAAGCGAAAGUGACGGUACCUGCAGAAGAAGCGCCGGCUAACUACGUGCCAGCAGCCGCGGGUAAUUC